rnacentral:lncRNA from 1 species
CUUUAUUACUGCAAGGGCAGGCACAGCCCUCUGAAGAUAUAGUGAGUGGAAGCAUUGCAAGAUGAAACUUGGGUGUUUUCCCUUGUCAGGAGAUAAACAGAUCAAGACAUGUCUACAGAUCUUUCCUUGGACAUGAGAGACAUCUCAGACUGGAGUAGAGGCUGACUGUGCAACAAAAGACAUCAGUUCUAAACCCCACCUCACCUACGGAUGUUAGUUCUUGUGCAAAUGCCACUCCAAACACCUUAAAUUUUCUGCAGACUUUGCUUCAGCCUUAUUCUGGAAUGAGAAGCAUAAGGCAACAGAAAAAAGCUCCUGGAAUGUAAGCGCUUUCUGCAGAAACAUGUCCCUGAUCACAGGUUUCCACACAGACAGCAGACGGGAGACAGUCGUAUCUACACCACCGUUAUGCAACACCAAGACACCAGUUGGGCUCCUUCUAAGCCUCUUCAGAGGUGACUGACCUACAGGAAUUGUCAUUAGACAGAAAACAAGGUCAAAAUAUACUGAUAAAGCAGCUUAGAUGACAGAGUCACAGAUUACAGAUUCAUAUUCCAGCACACCCACAGAGAGCCUUUAGAAUAACUGCUCUGUCCUGGAUUUUAAAAAUAGUAUAUAGGACUAGUGAGCUUGUGCUUACUGUAUCAAAUCUUCCCCAGCCCCCCUCACUCAGCCUGUGAACCUGGGAAAGUGAUGUCCUUCUGCUGAGAGACAGCAGAGGAGGAGGAGGGAUCAUCUAAGUCUAACAACCUGACCUGUGCCUGUGCCCUUCUGAAGACACAGAGUGGUCCCCGUCCUGUAAUCCAACAGGAAGAAUCCUCUCUCUCUCUCUCAGCUGGAUAAAGCUCAGACAAUGAACUCCAAGGAAGGCAGCCAUCUCCUCAUUGUGUUGCCUACUCUACUUGCCAGGAUUUGGAAGGGCCCUCUCUUAGCAAAGCUGCUUCAUCUCCAGUUUCUCUGCGGGAGGACUCUCUCUGCAAUGAAGAAAGGCUAAAAGAAGAACAGUAAAGCAUUCAGCAGCAUGCUCAGCAACUGCUUUCUAUUAUGCAACAGUUUAAAGGAAUGUGCACAGCCUGCUGAAAACCUCAUCAUGUGACUAAGAUCACAGCAACAACGUGGCACUAAAUGAACAACUGAGCUCUUAUGUACUGGUAUAAAGACCCGGCUAGAAGAGCAUUGUGGUAGUCUACCUUCAGCCAAAGUGAAUAGGAGUUUAAUUUCAGCAUGUUGCUCAGCAGGCUAGUUACUUUUCAUCUGUGGGAUGAUACUUUAAUUAAAUUCUCACCUCACUACCUUUAAUGCAUUUUCCAUUAUGACUUGAUGUUUUUUGUCAGGUAUCUCUUUGCCCUCUGUGAGUUUUAAAAAGCAGGAAGAAAAACAAAACAAACAAACAAACAAACAAACAAACAAAAAACACUGGCAGCCCUAUAAUAACUGUGCUUUUGGAUUUAACUUCUGUGUUGCAGGACUUAGAUAAGGAUGGCUCUUGUAUCCAACAAAACAGAUGAGUUCCUGAGUUGAACCAUCACAAAAGAAAUAAAUAAAUC